rnacentral:rRNA from 1 species
UUGGAGGGCAAGUCUGGUGCCAGCAGCCUCGGUAAUUCCAGCUCCAAUAGCGUAUAUUAAAGUUGUUGCAGUUAAAAAGCUCGUAGUUGAACUUCGGGGUUUACCCAUUGGUCAGGCUUAAUUGUCUGUACUGGUGAGAUAAAUCUCUACCUUCUGAGGAACUUUCAUGCCAUUUGUUUGGUGUGAUUGGAAAUCAGGACUAUUACUUUGAAAAAAUUAGAGUGUUUAAAGCAGGCUAACGUCUGAAUAUAUUAGCAUGGAAUAAUGAAAUAGGACGGCUUGGUUCUAUUUCGUUGGUUUCUAGGAUCACCGUAAUGAUUAAUAGGGAUAGUUGGGGGCAUUAGUAUUCAAUUGUCAGAGGUGAAAUUCUUGGAUUUAUUGAAGACUAACUACUGCGAAAGCAUUUGCCAAGGAUGUUUUCAUUAAUCAAGAACGAAAGUUAGGGGAUCGAAGACGAUCAGAUACCGUCGUAGUCUUAACCAUAAACUAUGCCGACUAGGGAUCGGACGAAGUUAAUUUUAUAAUGACGCGUUCGGCGCCUUACGGGAAAC